rnacentral:lncRNA from 1 species
GUCAGAUGAUCCAGUUUCCUCUUUGGGAUUUUACUCAGAAGCUGCUCAGUAAGAAAUACAGAAGGAGUCAUAAAUGCUGAACCUAGAAGUGCUUCGUUGCACUCUUCUUUCCGAUGCAGAGGUGCCAGCUGCCAGGCCAAGAGCUGGAGCGGCAUGGAGACGGCAGGAGAAAGAAGCAGCAGUAUGGAGGAGUGGAUAUGGAUGUGGAAACGGAUCCAUUCCCAUCUGCUUCACAGACCCCACAUCCCAUCUUCUAAACUGGAAAUUUUAUGUCUACCCAUGGACCGUUUAAGGUUUUUCCUGAAACCAUCCAGGACACUCCAUCUAACAGACUACCAGACUGAUCCAGCUCAAGAGAUCAGACAAUACGAAUAAAUAUCUUGCGCCAAGAAUUGUUUACUCUCAUAGUGGUAAAAUCAGUUCACCUGUACUCUAUUUGCCACAUGCUCUGGCCAAAGGAAC